GUGUGAGUGUGAGAGGUGAGUGUGAGUGUGAGUGUGUGUGAGAGUGUGUGUGUGUGUGUGUGUGUGAGUGUGAGAGAGGGAGAUUAAGACCAGAUUAAAACCAACGUUUGAAACGUUGCCUCGGUUUGUCAGAACUGUGAGCUGUGAGAAACUUAAUUACCGAAGAAGCCUGGAUGGUAAAACAAGCUUUGAAGCUUGAAGCAAGCUGUUUUGUCGAACACGAAUGAGGCUGGACGCUGAACACACCUGCGGCGCAAAGAGUUAAGAGAUGGUUACAGCUACAUGGCCCGGACUAAGAUAUGGUCUCCGAAGUGAGAGUGACGUCACCUACGAGUUGACAGUCAUAGGGAAAGAAUUCGGGAAUGGUGUCACCACUUCAUCCACACCAUUGUCCACGAUCGCUGAGACGUCAUCCAUGAUCACAGAGACAUGAUCCAUGAUUGGAGAGACAUUAUUGAGGAUGAGGGAGACAUCGUCCAUGAUCUGAGAUGUUGUCCGUAGUUGCAGAGACCUUGUCAAAGAUGAGAGAGACGUUGUCACGGUGACGGGGGUCACCGAUUUGACGGCAUUGCCCGCGAUCAGGUACAUUGUCGAUGAUCACAGAGACAUCUUCCAUGAUCACAAAGACAUUGUCCAUGAUCGUAGAGACAUUGUCCAUAAUCUCAGAGACAUUGUCCACGAUCACAGAGAUGUUGCCCACGAUCACAGAGAGACUUUGUACGAUGAACAAGUUCUUUGAGACCAGGACAGAGGCUUCCAGGUGACACCACUUUGUCCACAACAUCGUCCAGGAUUGCAGAGACUUCGUCCAUGAGCGGAGAGACAUUAUUGAGGAUGAGGGAGACAUCGUCCACGAUCAGAGACAUUGUCCAUGAUCGCAGAGACCUUGUCAAAGAUGAGAGAGACGUUGUCCGUGAUCAGAGACAUUGUCCCAUGCUUCGUAGAGACCUUGUGAUAGAAUCAGUGGAGACGGGUGUCACCGAUUUGACGGCAUUGCCCGCGAUCAUGGAGACAUUGUCGAUGAUCACAGAGGCACCGUCUAUGAUCUCAGAGACAUCGUCCACUAUCACAAAGUCAUUGUCCAUGAUGACAGAGACUUUGUCCAUAAUCUCAGAGACAUUGUCCGCAAUCACAGAGAGUCUUUGUACACUGAAGAAGUUCUUUCAGACCAAGACUGAGGCCUCCAGGUGACACCACUUUGUCCACAACAUCGUCCACAGAGACAUGGUCCAUGAGCGGAGAGACAUUGUUGAGGAUGAGGGAGACAUCGUCCACGAUCAGAGACGCUGUCCAUGAUUGCAGAGACCUUGUCAAAGAUGAGAGAGACGUUGUCCGUGAUCAGAGACAUUGUCCCAUGCUUCGUAGAGACCUUGCGAUAGAAUCGGCGGAGAUGGGGGUCACCGAUUCGACGGCAUUGUCCGCGAUCGUGGAGACAUUGUCGAUGAUCACAGAGACAGCGUCUAUGAUCUCAGAGACAUCGUCCACUAUCACAAAGUCAUUGUCCAUGAUCACAGAGACUUUGUCCAUAAUCUCAGAGACAUUGUCCGCGAUCACAGAGACGUAGUCCAUGAUCACAGAGAGUCUUCGUACAAUAAAGAAGUUCUUUGAGAAGUGGGACUGAGGCCUCCAGGUGUGACCACUGUCCACGACAUCGUCCACGAUCACAGAGACUUCGUCCAUGAUCGGAGAGACAUUGUUGAGGAUGAGGGAGACAUUGUCCAUAAUUUCAGAGACAAGGUAAUUCACAAACAGCUUUACAUCAGCUGUCUAACACAGAGCACUGACAUUGUUUAUGUUUAGUAUUUAAUAUAUCAGAAAUCUGUAUUAAUAAUAGAAGUAAUGUAGAAGUAAUUUGCAUUAUCAAAAGUAAGAUAAAUAGUAAAAAUAAUCUGUUACUAGAUGUAAUUUGCAAAAGUGAAAGUUAUCAUGUAAGUUUAGAAGUAAAAUGUAAUUUAAAAAAAGUACUCUGUAAGGGUAAAACUAAUUUAAUGUUGGAGUGAAAAUAUCCUGGAAUAUAAAAGCAAUGAAGAGGAAAUACUGAUCUAAAAUGAGGGUAAAAAUAUUACAAUAUAUUGUGGCAUCAAAAUGAAAAAAACUAUCAUAGUAAUAUUUUUUUAAUGUCAUAAAAUGCUGUAUUUAUAUAGUAAGGCAUAAAAAAGUGUCAAAACCGUCAAAAAAUAUCAGUAUAGUAAGGCGUCAAAAAAUGUUAAAAAAUUAUCAAAAAUGGUCAAAGAAGGUCAUGGUAUAGCAAGUGUAUAGAAAAAUGUCAAAAACAAUCAAAAACAUUCAUAGCAUAUGGCAAUAAAAAUGGUCAGAAAACGUCAUAGUAGUAUGACCUCAAAAAUUGUUUUAAAAAAUGUCAUAGUAUAGUAAGAUGUCAAAAAACAUCAAAAAAUGUCAUAGCAUAUUAAGAGGUCAAAAACCACUACAAAAUGUCAUAGUAUAUUAAGACGUCAAAAACUAUUAAAAAAUGUCAUAGUAUAGUAAGGCAUGAAAGAUGGUCAAAAAAUGUCAUAGCAAAGUAUGGCGUCAGAAACGGUCCAAAAAUGUCGUAGAAUAGUAUGGCUCCAAAAAUGUCACAAUAUAGUAUGAUAAUAAUAACACAUUUUAUUUAUAAGCACCUUUCUGAACACUCAAGGACACUGUACAAUAUACAAUAAACAAUAAAACUAUACAAUAGACAAUAAUCAAUAAAACUGUACAGUAUACAAUAAUCAAUAAAACAACAAUGGAUAAAAUCAACAUAUAAAAGAAAUGUAGGGUGGUGAAGUUGCAGUAGGACUGUUAAAGUGAAUAGGCAAUCUUAAAGAGGGUUUUGAGUCUGGAUUUUAAAACGGGAAAGGAGUCAACGUUUUUGAGGGCUGGUGACAGGGAGUUCCAGAGCUGGGUGCUGAGACGGGCAGAGGGUAUGCAGAGAUGAAUGGAGGAGGAAGAUCUGGCGUUAAAAACUGUCACUGUAUAAUAUGGCUUCAAAAACCAUCAAAACACGUCAUAGUAUAGUAAGGCUUCAAAAAUACAGUAUAGUAAGGCUUUCAGAACCACGAAAAAAUGUCAUAGUAUAUUAAGGCUUCAAAAAAGUCAUACCAUAGUAAGACUUAAAAAAAAGUCAUACUAUAGUAAGGCUUCAAAAAAAGUCAUACCAUAGUAAGGCUUCAAAAAUACAGUAUAGUAAGGCUUCAAAAAUAUAGUAUAGUAAGGCUUUCAAAACCAUGAAAAAAUGUCAUAGUAUAUUAAGGCUUCAAAAAAGUCAUACCAUAGUAAGGCUUAAAAAAAAGUCAUAGUAUAGUAAGGCUUCAAAAAAAAGUCAUACCAUAGUAAGGCUUCAAAAAAAGUUAUAGUAAGGCUUCAAAAAAAGUCAUACCAUAGUAAGGCUUCAAAAAAAGUUAUAGUAAGGCUUCAAAACUGGUCAAAAAAGUCAUACCAUAGUAAGGCUUCAAAAUAGUCAUACCAUAUUAAGGCUUCAAAAAAAGUCAUAGUAUAGUAAGGCUUCAAAACUGGUCAAAAAGUCAUACCAUAGUAAGGCUUGAAAAAAGUCAUAGUAUAGUAAGGCUUCAAAAAAGUCAUACCAUAGUAAGACUUCAAAAUAGUCAUACUAAAGUAAGGCUUCAAAAAAAGUUAUAGUAUAGUAAGGCUUCAAAAAAAGUCAUAGUAAGGCUUCAAAAAAAGUCAGUAUAGUAAGGCUUCAAAACUGGUCAAAAAAGUCAUACCAUAUUAAGGCUUCAAAAAAGUCAUAGUAUAGUAAGGCUUCAAAAAAAGUCAUAGUAUAGUAAGGCUUCAAAAAAAGUAGUAUAGUAAGGCUUCAAAAAAAGUCAUACCAUAGUAAGGCUUCAAAAAAGUUUUGACUUUUUUUGAAGCCUUACUAUGACUUUUUUUGACCAGUUUUGAAGCCUUAUUAUGACUUUUUUGACCAGUUUUGACUUUUUUUGAAGCCUUAUUAUGGUAUGACUUUUUUGACCAGUUUCGACUUUUUUUAAAGCCUUAUUAUGGUAUGACUUUUUUGACCAGUUUCGACUUUUUUUAAAGCCUUAUUAUGGUAUGACUUUUUUGACCAGUUUUGACUUUUUUUGAAGCCUUAUUAUGGUAUGACUUUUUUGACCAGUUUUAAAGCCUUACUAUGACUUUUUUGACCAGUUUUGACGUUUUUUGAAGCCUUAUUAUGACUUUUUUGACCAGUUUUGACUUUUUUUGAAGCUUUACUAUGACUUUUUUUGACCAGUUUU